UGCAACAUUGGGAAAAUCGCUUUGAGCGCC
rnacentral:sRNA from 1 species